rnacentral:rRNA from 1 species
GGUAUAGUUAAUCUGCCCUACACAAGAGGACAACAGUUGGAAACGACUGCUAAUACUCUAUACUCCUGCUUAACACAAGUUGAGUAGGGAAAGUUUUUCGGUGUAGGAUGAGACUAUAUAGUAUCAGCUAGUUGGUAAGGUAAUGGCUUACCAAGGCUAUGACGCUUAACUGGUCUGAGAGGAUGAUCAGUCACACUGGAACUGAGACACGGUCCAGACUCCUACGGGAGGCAGCAGUAGGGAAUAUUGCGCAAUGGGGGAAACCCUGACGCAGCAACGCCGCGUGGAGGAUGACACUUUUCGGAGCGUAAACUCCUUUUCUUAGGGAAGAAUUCUGACGGUACCUAAGGAAUAAGCACCGGCUAACUCCGUGCCAGCAGCCGCGGUAAUACGGAGGGUGCAAGCGUUACUCGGAAUCACUGGGCGUAAAGGGCGCGUAGGCGGAUUAUCAAGUCUCUUGUGAAAUCUAAUGGCUUAACCAUUAAACUGCUUGGGAAACUGAUAGUCUAGAGUGAGGGAGAGGCAGAUGGAAUUGGUGGUGUAGGGGUAAAAUCCGUAGAUAUCACCAAGAAUACCCAUUGCGAAGGCGAUCUGCUGGAACUCAACUGACGCUAAGGCGCGAAAGCGUGGGGAGCAAACAGGAUUAGAUACCCUGGUAGUCCACGCCCUAAACGAUGUACACUAGUUGUUGGGGUGCUAGUCAUCUCAGUAAUGCAGCUAACGCAUUAAGUGUACCGCCUGGGGAGUACGGUCGCAAGAUUAAAACUCAAAGGAAUAGACGGGGACCCGCACAAGCGGUGGAGCAUGUGGUUUAAUUCGAAGAUACGCGAAGAACCUUACCUGGGCUUGAUAUCCUAAGAACCUUUUAGAGAUAAGAGGGUGCUAGCUUGCUAGAACUUAGAGACAGGUGCUGCACGGCUGUCGUCAGCUCGUGUCGUGAGAUGUUGGGUUAAGUCCCGCAACGAGCGCAACCCACGUAUUUAGUUGCUAACGGUUCGGCCGAGCACUCUAAAUAGACUGCCUUCGUAAGGAGGAGGAAGGUGUGGACGACGUCAAGUCAUCAUGGCCCUUAUGCCCAGGGCGACACACGUGCUACAAUGGCAUAUACAAUGAGACGCAAUACCGCGAGGUGGAGCAAAUCUAUAAAAUAUGUCCCAGUUCGGAUUGUUCUCUGCAACUCGAGAGCAUGAAGCCGGAAUCGCUA